AAAAGACUUCACCCUUCAUCCUGUUAACUACCCUGGCCCAAAGUUGAGAGCUUUCUUAAAGAAAAUUCAUGCUGAGGGAAUGCAUUACAUUGUGAUCAAUGAUCCUGGAAUUGGAGUUAACAAAAGUUAUGGUACUUACCAAAGAGGUUUAGCCAAUGAUGUUUUCAUCAAAUACCAAGGUAAACCAUUUCUAGCACAAGUCUGGCCUGGUGCUGUUCAUUUCCCUGACUUCCUCAACCCUAAAACAGUUGAGUGGUGGGGUGAUGAGAUUCGACGAUUCCAUGAACUUGCUCCUAUUGAUGGACUAUGGAUUGACAUGAAUGAAGUUUCCAACUUUUGUAAUGGUUUGUGCACGAUCCCCGAGGGUAGGAUAUGUCCUAAUGGGACAGGUCCUGGUUGGAUAUGUUGUUUGGACUGCAAGAAUGUAACGAAAACAAAGUGGGAUGAUCCGCCUUACAAGAUUAAUGCUUCUGGUAUUCAAGCUCCAAUAGGGUACAAAACGAUUGCUACGAGUGCAACACAUUACAAUGGUGUUAGGGAAUAUGAUGCUCAUAGUCUUUAUGGUUUCUCUGAGACUAUUGCAACUCACAAGGGUCUACAAGCGAUAGAGGGGAAACGUCCCUUCAUAUUGACUCGUGCCACGUUUGUUGGUUCAGGACAUUAUGCUGCGCAUUGGACAGGGGAUAACAAAGGAACUUGGGAGGAUUUGAAGUAUUCAAUCUCAACUGUCUUGAACUUUGGUAUGUUUGGUGUUCCUAUGGUUGGUUCAGACAUAUGUGGUUUUUACCCCGCGGCUCCUCCUUUGGAGGAGCUAUGCAACCGUUGGAUUCAAGUAGGCGCGUUCUAUCCCUUCUCAAGGGAUCACGCAAACUACUACUCACCAAGACAAGAGCUUUACCAAUGGAAAAGUGUGACUAAAUCUUCGCGUAAUGCUUUAGGAAUGAGAUACAAAUUGUUGCCCUAUCUCUACACAUUGAGCUACGAGGCACACAUAACCGGAGCACCCAUUGUAAGGCCACUCUUCUUCACUUUCCCAAACAUUCCAGAGCUUUACGAGUUAAGCACUCAAUUCUUGGUAGGAAGCAAUGUCAUGGUCUCUCCAGUGCUAGAAAAGGCUAAAACUAAGGUAAACGCGCUCUUCCCUCCAGGUACUUGGUACAGUUUAUUCGAUAUGACACAAGUCAUUGUCACAAAAGAGCCACAUUACCGAUCACUUGAUGCACCAUUGCACGUAGUCAACGUGCAUUUGUACCAAAACACCAUACUACCAAUGCAACGCGGAGGAAUGUUAACCAAAGAAGCAAGGAUGACACCUUUCACAAUCGUUGUAGCCUUCCCACUCGGGGCAUCAGAAGGGGUAGCUAAAGGAAAUCUCUUCCUCGACGAUGAUGAGCUUCCUGAGAUGAAACUAGGAAAUGGGAAGUCAACAUACAUGGAUUUCCACGCGACAACUAGUAAUGGUACAGUGAAGAUUUGGUCUGAAGUUCAAGAAAGUAAAUACGCGUUGGAUAAAGGUUGGUACAUAGAAAAGGUUACUGUGUUAGGAUUGAAUGGAAUUGGAGGUGCAUUUGACAUUCUUGUUGAUGGAAGUAAAGUUGAAGAUACUUCAAAGUUGGAGUUUGAAACAGAAGAGCAUAAGUUUGUAGACAAAUUGGAAGAUGGAGGUCAUAAGAAGAGUAUGAUGCUAGAUAUUAAAGGAUUAGAGUUACCAAUUGGUAAAAACUUUGCUAUGUCUUGGAAAAUGGGGAUUUAAGUUUAGUUUUAUAUUUGGUGUGGAUAAAAAUUGCCUCUGUUUUUAGUUAAGUUAGUUAUAAGGUUAUUGAUGAAAAAUAAAAGGAGACUUUAGUUUAAACUAAGCUUUUAAUUUCCUUUUCUAUUUUUCAUACAAAAGAGAUUCAA
rnacentral:misc_RNA from 1 species